GUGUGUGUGUGUGUGUGUGUGUGUUCAUGUAAAUGUAUUGAAGGUGUGUGUGUGUGUUCAUGUAAAUGUAUUGAAGGUGUGUGUGUGUGUGUGUGUUCAUGUAAAUGUAUUGAAGGUGUGUGUGUGUGUUCAUGUAAAUGUAUUGAAGGUGUGUGUGUGUGUUCAUGUAAAUGUAUUGAAGGUGUGUGUGUGUGUGUGUGUUCAUGUAAAUGUAUUGAAGGUGUGUGUGUGUGUGUGUGUGUUCAUGUAAAUGUAUUGAAGGUGUGUGUGUGUGUUCAUGUAAAUGUAUUGAAGGUGUGUGUGUGUGUGUGUGUUCAUGUAAAUGUAUUGAAGGUGUGUGUGUGUGUUCAUGUAAAUGUAUUGAAGGUGUGUGUGUGUGUUCAUGUAAAUGUAUUGAAGGUGUGUGUGUGUGUUCAUGUAAAUGUAUUGAAGGUGUGUGUGUGUGUUCAUGUAAAUGUAUUGAAGGUGUGUGUGUGUGUGUGUGUUCAUGUAAAUGUAUUGAAGGUGUGUGUGUGUGUGUGUGUUCAUGUAAAUGUAUUGAAUGUGUGUGUGUGUGUUCAUGUAAAUGUAUUGAAGGUGUGUGUGUGUGUGUGUUCAUGUAAAUGUAUUGAAGGUGUGUGUGUGUGUUCAUGUAAAUGUAUUGAAGGUGUGUGUGUGUGUGUGUGUUCAUGUAAAUGUAUUGAAGGUGUGUGUGUGUGUGUGUGUUCAUGUAAAUGUAUUGAAGGUGUGUGUGUGUGUUCAUGUAAAUGUAUUGAAGGUGUGUGUGUGUGUUCAUGUAAAUGUAUUGAAGGUGUGUGUGUGUGUGUUCAUGUAAAUGUAUUGAAGGUGUGUGUGUGUGUGUUCAUGUAAAUGUAUUGAAGGUGUGUGUGUGUGUGUUCAUGUAAAUGUAUUGAAGGUGUGUGUGUGUGUGUGUGUGUGUGUGUUCAUGUAAAUGUAUUGAAGGUGUGU